rnacentral:rRNA from 1 species
GAUGAACGCUAGCGGCAGGCUUAAUACAUGCAAGUCGUGGGGCAGCAGGACUGUAGCAAUCCAGUUGCUGGCGACCGGCAAACGGGUGCGGAACACGUACGCAACUUACCCUGAACUGGGGUAUAGCCCGGGGAAACCCGGAUUAAUACCCCGUAAUAUAAUGGAGUGGCAUCACUUUAUUAUUAAAGCUCCGGCGGUUCGGGAUGGGCGUGCGGCUGAUUAGGUAGUUGGUUGAGGUAACGGCUCACCAAGCCUACGAUCAGUAACUGGUGUGAGAGCACGACCAGUCACAAGGGCACUGAGAAACGGGCCCGAGUCCUACGGGAGGCAGCAGUAAGGAAUAUUGGGCAAUGGAGGCAGCUCUGACCAAGCCAUGCCGCGUGGAGGAUGAAGGCCGUCUGGGUUGUAAACUUCUUUUAUAGGGGACGAAACCUGUGUAUUCUUACGAAGUUGACGGUACCCUAGGAAUAAGCACCGGCUAACUCCGUG